rnacentral:rRNA from 1 species
UGGAAGAAUCUGGAGACAGGUGCUGCAUGGCUGUCGUCAGCUCGUGUCGUGAGAUGUUGGGUUAAGUCCCGCAACGAGCGCAACCCUUGCCUUUAGUUGCCAGCAGUUCGGCUGGGCACUCUAAAGGGACUGCCGGUGUUAAACCGGAGGAAGGUGGGGAUGACGUCAAGUCCUCAUGGCCUUUAUGACCAGGGCUACACACGUACUACAAUGGCCGAUACAAAGGGCAGCGACACUGCGAGGUGAAGCCAAUCCCGUAAAAUCGGUCUCAGUCCGGAUUGGAGUCUGCAACUCGACUCCAUGAAGUUGGAAUCGCUAGUAAUCGUGGAUCAGCAUGCCACGGUGAAUACGUUCCCGGGCCUU